GCCUAACACAUGCAAGUCGAACGAGAAAGGGGCUUCGGCCCUGAGUAAAGUGGCGCACGGGUGAGUAACACGUAGGUAACCUGCCUCUAAGAUUGGGAUAACAUGUCGAAAGACGUGCUAAUACCGAAUGAGACCACAGUUUCCUCGGAAACAGGGGUCAAAGGUAGCCUCUAUUUAUAAGCUAUCACUUAGAGAUGGGCCUGCGUACCAUUAGCUAGUUGGUAGGGUAACGGCCUACCAAGGCAAAGAUGGUUAGCUGGUCUGAGAGGAUGAUCAGCCACACUGGAACUGAGACACGGUCCAGACUCCUACGGGAGGCAGCAGUGGGGAAUAUUGCGCAAUGGGCGAAAGCCUGACGCAGCAACGCCGCGUGAGUGAUGAAGGCCUUCGGGUCGUAAAGCUCUGUCGGAGGGAACGAAUGUUUCUGAGGUUAACAGCCUUAGGAAGUGACGGUACCCUCAAAGGAAGCACCGGCUAACUCUGUGCCAGCAGCCGCGGUAAUACAGAGGGUGCUAGCGUUGUUCGGAAUCAUUGG
rnacentral:rRNA from 1 species